UACGUAGGGUGCGAGCGUUAAUCGGAAUUACUGGGCGUAAAGCGUGCGCAGGCGGUUUUGUAAGCCAGAUGUGAAAUCCCCGGGCUCAACCUGGGAAUGGCAUUUGGGACUGCAAAGCUGGAGUAUGGCAGAGGAGACUAGAAUUCCUGGUGUAGCAGUGAAAUGCGUAGAUAUCAGGAGGAAUACCGAUGGCGAAGGCAGGUCUCUGGGCCAAUACUGACGCUCAUGCACGAAAGCGUGGGGAGCAAACAGG
rnacentral:rRNA from 1 species